rnacentral:rRNA from 1 species
CCGGCGACCGGCGCACGGGUGAGUAACGCGUAUGCAACCUACCUUUAACAGGGGGAUAACACUGAGAAAUUGGUACUAAUACCCCAUAAUAUCAUAGAAGGCAUCUUUUAUGGUUGAAAAUUCCGAUGGUUAGAGAUGGGCAUGCGUUGUAUUAGCUAGUUGGUGGGGUAACGGCUCACCAAGGCGACGAUACAUAGGGGGACUGAGAGGUUAACCCCCCACACUGGUACUGAGACACGGACCAG